AAACACUCGUGUAAGUGGUCAGCACAUGACUCAGGUGGUGCGCAGGCUGGUGGCUGAGCUGCUUCAUGCUUGUCUGCAGGAGUGCCCCCUCCCAGGACUGCAGGAGCCCAGAGAAGUAGGGGGAUAUCUCAGAGGAUGCCGUCACAUGGACCACAAAAGCCCACCCGAAUCUGGAUUUGUACUUUCUAAACAGCUUCCAUCUCUGCCAUCUCAUUUUAUCCUCGAAGUCCUAUGAAACAAACCCUCUUUGUAGGUGUGGAAACUGAGGCACAAGAGACUUAAGAUUUGCCCAAUGAACAGUGAAUGUCAGUGGUGGGAACGAGGUCCUG